rnacentral:lncRNA from 1 species
CAUCACUACAAGAUGACCAGACAUACGAACAUAGCAGAUACUUAUAUAACAAUAGUAUAUAGAGUGUCCUAAAUACAUUCAGUAACAAAACUAAAUAAAAUAAAACUUCAACUUUUCAUUUGUAUUCAUGCUUCUUGUUAUCAUCUUAUAAUGUGUACCAGUUUGUACAUGAUAUUAGAAGCAAAAGAAGAAGAGGAUUGAUCAGCAGGAUAACAGUAACAAUACCCAGCAACAACAGCUCAACAACACGGAGUAGCCCAGUAUUAGCGGGAAUAGCAGAAAACCCAGGAGACAGACCAAUAAAGAAAUAUCCAGUUUCCAAAAAAAAUAACUUCUGAUUUUUGUCACUUAGGAAAAAAAGCUUGAAACUUAAAUGAAAAUUAGCAGUUGAUGCUAAUUGUUAACAGUGAAGAAGAACAUAUUUUUCUUUAAUUUCUAACUUUCAAAAACUCCCAGAAUUCUUAAGAUUCAGAAGUCUUUUUUAUCUUCCCUCAAGUUCUUAAAAUAUCUUCUCUCUAAA